CGCACGAUGCGCAUGCGCGACCGGAGACGGAACAGCAAGUCUGCUGCAACUCAUCUUAUGGCUUCGCGUGGCAUUAUAUUGGUGUUACGUACGUAGUAUACUAGGACCAGUAAAGCUGCAAGAUUUUGUCGGCCAGUCAAAAGUGGAUGCUGCAAUCCAAGGUGAAACUUUCUUUCUCAUGGUGGGGCACAUGCAUGAAGAUGUGGAUCAACUGUUUAGUGUAUUUGCAAGGGAACUUAGACAGAAGCCGGCAACAACCCGCGAUGCCCUCCUUCAAGAUGGGGGACAUCCGGACACCCACCAUCAAGCUAUCAGACUUCAAGCCCUUCAUGCCUGCCCCAAGGGAAGCGACAACCCUCCCAAGAGAUUCAAGAGGCAAUAGAGAAGAACAAUGAAAAACUGCAAAAACAAUCAAAGAUCACUCUGACAAAGCACCGAAGACAAGCGUCAGUAUCAGAACAAUAAAGAAGGAGCAGCAAGUUUUGCUGAAAUGAACAUUUUUUGUCUAAGCUAUGUGGCUGAGAUAUUGCCGAGGAUUGCAUUGCAGGAGUUUUGUACUUAGUAUGUUAAAGCUGUGUAUUUAGAAUUGUAUAUAUAUAUAUACAUAUAUAAGAUGAGAUGUGCACAAUGAAAUUUAUGAAACAAUAUAUGCAGUUAUAUUGUAAAA